CUUAAGCAUAUCAAUAAGCGGAGGAAAAGAAACCAACAGGGAUUGCCCUAGUAACGGCGAGUGAAGCGGCAACAGCUCAAAUUUGAAAUCUGGCCCUCGGGUCCGAGUUGUAAUUUGUAGAGGAUGCUUUUGGCGCGGUGCCUUCCGAGUUCCCUGGAACGGGACGCCUUAGAGGGUGAGAGCCCCGUACGGUUGGACACCAAGCCUCUGUAAAGCUCCUUCGACGAGUCGAGUAGUUUGGGAAUGCUGCUCUAAAUGGGAGGUAAAUUUCUUCUAAAGCUAAAUAUUGGCCAGAGACCGAUAGCGCACAAGUAGAGUGAUCGAAAGAUGAAAAGCACUUUGAAAAGAGGGUUAAAUAGCACGUGAAAUUGUUGAAAGGGAAGCGUUUGCGACCAGACCUCUUCCUGGCGGAUCAUCCGGUGUUCUCACCGGUGCACUUCGCCAGGUCGAGGCCAGCAUCGGUUCUCGUAGGGGGAUAAAAGCUCUGGGAACGUAGCUCCUCCGGGAGUGUUAUAGCCCUCUGUAUAAUACCUUUACGGGGACCGAGGACCGCGCUUUAUGCAAGGAUGCUGGCGUAAUGGUCGUCAACGACCCGUCUUGAAACACGGACCAAGGAGUCGAACAUUUAUGCGAGUGUUUGGGUGUUAAACCCUCACGCGUAAUGAAGGUGAACGUAGGUGAGAGCCCUUACGGGUGCAUCAUCGACCGAUCCUGAUGUCUUCGGAUGGAUUUGAGUAAGAGCAUAGCUGUUCGGACCCGAAAGAUGGUGAACUAUGCGUGGAUAGGGUGAAGCCAGAGGAAACUCUGGUGGAGGCUCGCAGCGGUUCUGACGUGCAAAUCGAUCGUCAAAUCUGCGCAUGGGGGCGAAAGACUUAUCGAACCAUCUA
rnacentral:rRNA from 1 species